rnacentral:SRP_RNA from 1 species
CCGUGCUAGACGGGGAGGUAGCGGUGCCCUGUAACUCGCAAUCCGCUAUAGCGAGGUUGAAUUCCUGUUAGAGGUCUUGUCGAUGUGAGGUUUGGUCUUUAUGGCUGGCGUUGAUGGACGGGUCCUCCGCAAGGAACGCCUGUGAACCUGGUCAGGUCCGGAAGGAAGCAGCCAUAAGCAGUAUUGUUCCUGUGCCGGAGGGUUACCUGUCCUGAGCUAUGGCAUGAAGGUGCCGCUCGGAUCGCAAUGAUCAAUAAUGGGUGCACG